GACGAACGCUGGCGGCGUGCUUAACACAUGCAAGUCGAACGGAAAGGCCCUGCUUUUGUGGGGUGCUCGAGUGGCGAACGGGUGAGUAACACGUGAGUAACCUGCCCUUGACUUUGGGAUAACUUCAGGAAACUGGGGCUAAUACCGGAUAGGAGCUCCUGCUGCAUGGUGGGGGUUGGAAAGUUUCGGCGGAUGGGGAUGGACUCGCGGCUUAUCAGCUUGUUGGUGGGGUAGUGGCUUACCAAGGCUUUGACGGGUAGCCGGCCUGAGAGGGUGACCGGCCACAUUGGGACUGAGGUACGGCCCAGACUCCUACGGUAGGCAGCAGUGGGGAAGAUUGCACAAUGGGCGGAAGCCUGAUGCAGCAACGCCGCGUGCGGGAUGACGGCCUUCGGGUUGUAAACCGCUUUCGCCUGUGACGAAGCGUGAGUGACGGUAAUGGGUAAAGAAGCACCGGCUAACUACGUG
rnacentral:rRNA from 1 species